GGGCCCAUAGCUCAGCUUGGUAGAGCGGCAGGCUCAUAACCUGUCGGCCAAGGGUUCAAGUCCCUUUGGGCCCACCA
rnacentral:tRNA from 1 species